UACGAAGGGGGCUAGCGUUGCUCGGAAUCACUGGGCGUAAAGCGCACGUAGGCGGAUUGCUAAGUCAGGGGUGAAAUCCUGGAGCUCAACUCCAGAACUGCCUUUAAGACUGCAUCGCUUGAAUCCAGGAGAGGUGAGUGGAAUUCCGAGUGUAGAGGUGAAAUUCGUAGAUAUUCGGAAGAACACCAGUGGCGAAGGCGGCUCACUGGACUGGUAUUGACGCUGAGGUGCGAAAGCGUGGGGAGCAAACAGG
rnacentral:rRNA from 1 species